rnacentral:rRNA from 1 species
AGGACGAACGCUGGCGGCGCGCUUAAUACAUGCAAGUCGAGCGAGAACCGGACCUUCGGGUCCGGGGAAAGCGGCGAACGGGUGAGUAACACGUGGGUAAUCUGCCCUCGGUACUGGGAUAGCCCGGGGAAACCCGGAUUAAUACCGGAUAGCCUUUCGAGCUCUCGGGCUCGUUAGAAAAUGGUGGCUUCGGCUUCCGACUGAGGAUGAGCCCGCGGCGGAUUAGCUUGUUGGUGAGGUAAUGGCUCACCAAGGCUCCGAUCCGUAGCUGGUCUGAGAGGACGACCAGCCACACUGGGACUGAGACACGGCCCAGACUCCUACGGGAGGCAGCAGUGGGGAAUUUUGGACAAUGGGCGCAAGCCUGAUCCAGCCAUGCGCGUGCGGAAGAAGGCUUCGGGUGUAACGCUUUGGCAGGAACGAAUGGCGCGAGCGAAUAUACUCGCGUUAAUGACGGUACCUGCAAGAAUAAGCACCGCUAACUACGCGCCACGCACGCCGUAGUAAUCUA